rnacentral:rRNA from 1 species
AAGUCGAGCGGACAGAAGGGAGCUUGCUCCCGGAAGUCAGCGGCGGACGGGUGAGUAACACGUGGGUAACCUGCCUGUAAGACUGGGAUAACUCCGGGAAACCGGGGCUAAUACCGGAUAAUAUCAAGAACCACAUGGUUAUUGAUUGAAAGGCGGCUUCGGCUGUCACUUACAGAUGGACCCGCGGCGCAUUAGCUAGUUGGUGAGGUAACGGCUCACCAAGGCGACGAUGCGUAGCCGACCUGAGAGGGUGAUCGGCCACACUGGGACUGAGACACGGCCCAGACUCCUACGGGAGGCAGCAGUAGGGAAUCUUCCGCAAUGGACGAAAGUCUGACGGAGCAACGCCGCGUGAGUGAAGAAGGUUUUCGGAUCGUAAAACUCUGUUGUCAGGGAAGAACAAGUACCGGAGUAACUGCCGGUACCUUGACGGUACCUGACCAGAAAGCCACGGCUAACUACGUGCCAGCAGCCGCGGUAAUACCGUAGGUGGCAAGCGUUGUCCGGAAUUAUUGGGCGUAAAGCGCGCGCAGGCGGCCUUUUAAGUCUGAUGUGAAAGCCCACGGCUCAACCGUGGAGGGUCAUUGGAAACUGGAAGGCUUGAGUGCAGAAGAGAAGAGCGGAAUUCCACGUGUAGCGGUGAAAUGCGUAGAGAUGUGGAGGAA